CCCCAACUGGGAGCGAGGGACGAGGCCCAGUACAGCCCGCUCAUGGAUGGGCACGCCGCGUUCGAUUGCAGACAUAAUGGCAGGAGCUCAAGCAUUCAUCCUGGACCAUGAGGUAGAAGCCUUGUUAAGGAUGACAAAGCACCAAAAGCCUGGAUCACUGAUGAUUAUAUCUGCUCUAUAUUGUCCACCGCCAGACUUUAUAUAGGUGGACUAAGACCCUUGGACCACAGUGACUUCAUCAAGAAUGUGGCACUCCAUGAAACCAACUGGAAAGAGCUGUGCCCACAGAAGGAAUUGUCAUGACCCUGGGAGGCACAAGCCUGUUUCAAGGUCAAAUUUGCCCAUUCAACCAUGAAUUCAACUAAUCCAUAUUCAUGGCCUGUCCUGGGCCAGGCACUGGGUAUGUGAUAGCACAGAUGCCUUCCUGUCCUCAGGAGGCUGUGGUCUGGGUGGCGGUUCAGAUGGGUGAACACCUGCCUUUUCUCCACUGCGUGUGAGGCACGUACUCCCCCAAUCCAUGCAUUGUUUUCCCUUGAAUAAAGAACAUUGAACUCAUUCCUAAGUUGUUCUGAUUUUGUUAUUUGACUGUUCUCAGGGGACCCCCCACCCCCGGCCUUUGAGUGGGCUCUAGGCCUCCCCGGAGCUAGGAGCAUCGCAGGAACAGGGCCGCCUUCCCCUUCAAAUGCCUGUCACACAGAACUCGAGAAACAGUAAAAAGAUCAGUGGUGGCCAGUGGGUGAAGGAGGGGUGGAGGGAUGACUAGGUGGAGCACAGGGGGCUUUUAGGACAGUGAAAUGAUUCUGUACGAUACUAUGACGAACGAUACGUGACAUUAUGCGUUUGG